CGGCAUGCCUUACACAUGCAAGUCGAACGGCAGCAUAGAAGAGCUUGCUCUUCUGAUGGCGAGUGGCGAACGGGUGAGUAAAGCAUCGGAACGUACCGUGUAGUGGGGGAUAACGUAGCGAAAGUUACGCUAAUACCGCAUACGCACUGAGGUGGAAAGCAGGGGAUCGCAAGACCUUGCGCUAUACGAGCGGCCGAUGUCAGAUUAGCUAGUUGGUAGGGUAAAGGCCUACCAAGGCGACGAUCUGUAGCGGGUCUGAGAGGAUGAUCCGCCACACUGGGACUGAGACACGGCCCAGACUCCUACGGGAGGCAGCAGUGGGGAAUUUUGGACAAUGGGCGAAAGCCUGAUCCAGCCAUGCCGCGUGAGUGAAGAAGGCCUUCGGGUUGUAAAGCUCUUUCGGCUGGGAAGAAAUCGCACAGGCUAAUACUCUGUGUGGAUGACGGUACCAGCACAAGAAGCACCGGCUAACUACGUG
rnacentral:rRNA from 1 species